GAUGAAGAACGCAGCGAAAUGCGAUACGUAAUGUGAAUUGCAGAAUUCAGUGAAUCAUCGAAUCUUUAAACGCACAUUGCGCCUGCCAGCACUCUGGCAGGCAUGCCUGUUCGAGCGUCAUUUCAACCAUCAAGCCCUAGGCUUGCGUUGGAGCCCUGCGGCUGCCGCAGGCCCCUAAAAGCAGUGGCGGGCUCGCUAUCACACCGAGUGCAGUAGAUUACUCUUCGCUCAGGGCGUGUGGCGGGUUCCAGCCGUGAAACCCCCUACUUCUCAAGGUUGACCUCGGAUCAGGUAGGAAUACCCGCUGAACUUAAGCAUAUCAAUAAGCGGAGGA
rnacentral:misc_RNA from 1 species